GUAGGUGAACCUGCGGAGGGAUCAUUACCGAGUGAGGGCCUCUGGCCCGACCUCCAACCCUUUGAAUUCCGACUCUGUUGCCUCGGGGGCGACCCGGCCCUUAUGGGCGUCGGGGCCCCCGGUGGACCACACAACUCUGCAUCCGUGCGUCUGAGUAACAACCGAAUAAGUUAAAACUUUCAACAACGGAUCUCUUGGUUCUG
rnacentral:misc_RNA from 1 species